UCCCUGCUGGCUCAGAGGUAGAGAGUCCACCUGUCAAUGAAGGAAACACAGGUUCGAUUCCUGGGCAGGGAA
rnacentral:tRNA from 1 species